GUUUCUGUCAGUGCCAUCAAAAUUGCAAUCAGCGAACCGUGAGCGUGCGUAGCAACGAUUGGCUCUGGGUUGCAGGUACGGUAUUCGCGAGGAUAUUAAGUUAAUAACUUUGGUGAAGUGCUACGAAGCAGAUCAGUUUGAUACUUGUAUUCCAGUAUGACGGGUUGCAGCGCACCAAACUGCGCAAAUCGCACGGAAAGAGGCAAAGCUUUAUACGCGGUGUCGUGCGGACGGACAAGACCGGCCGGCUCCGAAAGGGACCAGGAUAUGCGAGUGGCCUUGAAUUCUUCCCCCCAAGGCUCCAAGAACCAGCACUCAUCCCCUGCUGCCACCAGCGAUUGCUCAUCCGUUUUCUUGUACGAAAUAAAUUUGAUCUAGAAGCUCGUG